GACGAAGGGGGCUAGCGUUGUUCGGAAUUACUGGGCGUAAAGCGCGUGUAGGCGGUUGCCAUAGUCAGGUGUGAAAGCCUUGAGCUCAACUCAAGAAAUGCACUUGAUACUGGGCGACUAGAGGACCGGAGAGGAUAGUGGAAUUCCCAGUGUAGUGGUGAAAUACGUAGAGAUUGGGAAGAACACCAGUGGCGAAGGCGGCUAUCUGGACGGUUUCUGACGCUGAGACGCGAAAGCGUGGGGAGCAAACAGG
rnacentral:rRNA from 1 species